rnacentral:lncRNA from 1 species
CGGCAGCUGGAAGUUUGCUGGCAGCUGGAAGUUUGCUGGGGCCCCUCAGGCUGUGGCUCUCAACACCUACCAACUUCUAUUUUUAAUCUUUGAGAAAAAACUCAGAGCCAAAUUCUUGUUCUCAAUAUGGGAGUCAUAUGUGAAUUUAUUUGAAUGCAGAAUUUGGACCUUAAUCCUUCCUUUUUCUCAGUCAAUAGCAUUUACAAACAGUAAG